rnacentral:lncRNA from 1 species
GUCCCGGAUUCUGCUUUAUGGCCCUCAGUCCAAUUCUUUCUUCUGAGGAGGCAAGGACUGAAGUUGCUUCUGACCAGUACAGUUUCCCUGACUCUUAGAGCCUUGGAGCAGUGUGUGUCAUGUGCUGCACACCCAGGCUGGAACAGCCUGUCUCAACCAGAAAACGAAUACAGCAGGGAUGACUUCCACUAGCUACACUUUGCAGCUCUGAGGUAUAUUAAAAAUGACCUGGAAAAAGUCAUGCCAUGGGCCAGACCUUAAUAUUCCUUUCUGCUUACGCCAGGAUUUCAGACAAAGCUUCACUUUCCUAACCAGUCACAAAUCAGAGAAUUUUUGAAUCCACCUAUGACCUGUGAGCUUCUGCUUCAAGAUAUUCCACCUUUUUUAGGCCAAACCAAUGUAUAACCUCCAAGUGUCGAUUUACAGUUUUGCCUGUAACUUCUGCUUUCUUGAGAUUUACCCCCGCCUUUAAAAACCCUUGCUUGUAAUCCAUCAGGGAGGCUUUGUAUUUAUUAAUCACGAGCUGCCCAAUUCUCCUUGCUUGGUGCCCUGCAAAUAAACACC